GACGAACGCUGGCGGCGUGCUUAACACAUGCAAGUCGAACGGAAAGGCCCUGCUUUUGUGGGGUGCUCGAGUGGCGAACGGGUGAGUAACACGUGAGUAACCUGCCCUUGACUUUGGGAUAACUUCAGGAAACUGGGGCUAAUACCGGAUAGGAUCUCCUGCUGCAUGGUGGUGGUUGGAAAGUUUCGGCGGUUGGGGAUGGACUCGCGGCUUAUCAGCUUGUUGGUGGGGUAGUGGCUUACCAAGGCUUUGACGGGUAGCCGGCCUGAGAGGGUGACCGGCCACAUUGGGACUGAGAUACGGCCCAGACUCCUACGGGAGGCAGCAGUGGGGAAUAUUGCACAAUGGGCGGAAGCCUGAUGCAGCAACGCCGCGUGCGGGAUGACGGCCUUCGGGUUGUAAACCGCUUUCGCCUGUGACGAAGCGUGAGUGACGGUAAUGGGUAAAGAAGCACCGGCUAACUACGUG
rnacentral:rRNA from 1 species